rnacentral:rRNA from 1 species
UACGUAGGGUGCGAGCGUUAAUCGGAAUUACUGGGCGUAAAGCGUGCGCAGGCGGUUAUUUAAGUCAGGUGUGAAAGCCCUGGGCUUAACCUAGGAAUUGCGCUUGAGACUGGAUAGCUUGGAGUGCGGCAGAGGGAGGUGGAAUUCCACGUGUAGCAGUGAAAUGCGUAGAUAUGUGGAGGAAUACCGAUGGCGAAGGCAGCCUCCUGGGCCAACACUGACGCUCAUGCACGAAAGCGUGGGGAGCAAACAGG